GGGAUCAUAGCUCUAAAUGGGAGAGCAUUUGCCUUGCAAGCAAAGGGUUGAGGGUUCAAAUCCCUCUGGUUCCA
rnacentral:tRNA from 1 species